rnacentral:rRNA from 1 species
AGUGAACGCUGGCGGUAGGCCUAACACAUGCAAGUCGAACGGCAGCACAGUAAGAGCUUGCUCUUACGGGUGGCGAGUGGCGGACGGGUGAGGAAUACAUCGGAAUCUACUUUUUCGUGGGGGAUAACGUAGGGAAACUUACGCUAAUACCGCAUACGACCUACGGGUGAAAGCAGGGGAUCUUCGGACCUUGCGCGAUUGAAUGAGCCGAUGUCGGAUUAGCUAGUUGGCGGGGUAAAGGCCCACCAAGGCGACGAUCCGUAGCUGGUCUGAGAGGAUGACCAGCCACACUGGAACUGAGACACGGUCCAGACUCCGACGGGAGGCAGCAGUGGGGAUUAUUGGACAAUGGGCGCAAGCCUGAUCCAGCCAUCCGGGGGGGGUGAAGAAGGCUUUGGGGUUGUAAAGCCUUUUUGUUGGGAAAGAAAAGAAGCAGGUUAAUACCCCGCUGUUCUGACGGUACCCAAAGAAUAAGCACCGGCUAACUUCGUG